UACGUAGGGUGCAAGCGUUGUCCGGAAUUAUUGGGCGUAAAGAGCUCGUAGGCGGUUUGUCGCGUCUGCUGUGAAAACCCGAGGCUCAACCUCGGGCCUGCAGUGGGUACGGGCAGACUAGAGUGCGGUAGGGGAGAUUGGAAUUCCUGGUGUAGCGGUGAAAUGCGCAGAUAUCAGGAGGAACACCGAUGGCGAAGGCAGGUCUCUGGGCCACGACUGACGCUGAGAAGCGAAAGCAUGGGGAGCGAGCAGG
rnacentral:rRNA from 1 species